CUCAAGUUGGCCAAGCCAUACUCGGAUCUGGAUAUUUGUUUGUUGGAUGCGCUUAGUUUAGUCAUGUUAAUAGUUGACCUAAUCAAGAUUUUCAAUGAAGGCGCUACACACCUACUGAAGAGAUGUCUGGAGCAAAACCUAAUUGUUAGAAGUUGUAUAGAGAAACAAUUGGUUAAGAACCUAUCCAUGGAUGCACUAGGAUUGGUCGAGCUACACUCCAGCCCGAAUACAGUCUGUGUGGAUUCUAGUACCCUCUAAGAAAUUAAUGUACUUCCUCAAGUUGGAGGUAGAGGCUAUCAAUUCGUAUAAAAUAGUGAGAGUAUCU
rnacentral:lncRNA from 1 species